UUGCGCAUAGUCCCCUAAUUUCAAAAUGGACCCCGCCACCGGAUUGAACGUGAAUCAAAUUGGCAGAGCAGAUAUCAAUUUAAACGGGUUAAUUAAUAAUAUAUUGGGACGGAUAAAGAUUAUUUAUACAGCAGUGCAUUGAGAAUAGUUUGGAAAUCAACGGUAUGGCACUGCGAGUAUAUCACGUUAUUUUGCGAAUGCUCAACCUCUACUCUAAUGAUUGAAUGACAGCUCCCAGACGAUUGCACCAGAUGAGAUUCCUAUGCGUGCUGACACUUAAUUAUACAAUUAGUAAAGUGAAUACUACUGGAAGUAAAUGUCACCAUUUUAGAGUAAUAGAAUCAAAGUGCAUCCUCAAGAGCAGAGGGGCUAGACUGACAGCCAGAACAUUGGAUUCAAUCUAGAGGAGAGUCCUAUCAUACUUGGUUGUUUUUUGAAAUAAAUACCUGAAGAGUUGAUCACUGCUAUUCGUUUCAAUCUUCCAGGUCGAACAGUAUUCGUCCCAGGGGAGACUGCAAAGUUGAAACGACAGAGUCCUUGCGGUAUACGUCAGAUGUUAUUAUUACACCUCUGCGUACUUUAACAGACAGUCAGUGCAGAUGUUUGCCGGGCCAGGUCCAGCUGCCCAACCCAAGCAUAUUGUUGCUCUACUUUUGGAAACGACAUAGAGAGUUUGAGGGGAAGAAAUCAUACUUCCUAGUACAUGUACCUACUCAAGAACUGCAGUCAUUCCAUGGACUGAGAUGCGAAUCAGUUGGAGGCUUGUGGGCCUAUACAAAGAGAAUUAUAAGCACGGGAUCCGUAAUGCGUGCAUCAACUUGCAUAGAUCUUAGACCUUUCAAGCAUACUAUUAUGCCAAUUCGGAUUCUUGAGAUCAAAAUACAUGAGGAUAGCGGGACGAACCCUUCCACAAAAAAUCUGAAUCUUCAUCUCAGAUUUUGACAAAAUUCCAAGGCUAUAGGCUUACUGUUUUUCCCGGCAAAAAAGUGGAGUAUCCCUCAGAAUGAUUCCAGGACGCUUCUCCUAUGUAGAAAAGCGUUCCGAACAAGAAGCCGCCAAUCAAAUUAAGCUGGCAGAUAUUCUGCUUGCAGAUUCGGAUUCCUGAGAUCAAAAUACAUGAGGAUAGCGGGACGAACCCUUCCACAAAAAAUCUGAAUCUUCAUCUCAGAUUUUGACAAAAUUCCAAGGCUAUAGGCUUACUGUUUUUCCCGGCAAAAAAGUGGAGUAUCCCUCAGAAUGAUUCCAGGACGCUUCUCCUAUGUAGAAAAGCGUUCCGAACAAGAAGCCGCCAAUCAAAUUAAGCUGGCAUUCGGAUUCCUGAGAUCAAAAUACAUGAGGAUAGCGGGACGAACCCUUCCACAAAAAAUCUGAAUCUUCAUCUCAGAUUUUGACAAAAUUCCAAGGCUAUAGGCUUACUGUUUUUCCCGGCAAAAAAGUGGAGUAUCCCUCAGAAUGAUUCCAGGACGCUUCUCCUAUGUAGAAAAGCGUUCGGAACAAGAAGCCGCCAAUCAAAUUAAGCUGGCAUUCGGAUUCCUGAGAUCAAAAUACAUGAGGAUAGCGGGACGAACCCUUCCACAAAAAAUCUGAAUCUUCAUCUCAGAUUUUGACAAAAUUCCAAGGCUAUAGGCUUACUGUUUUUCCCGGCAAAAAAGUGGAGUAUCCCUCAGAAUGAUUCCAGGACGCUUCUCCUAUGUAGAAAAGCGUUCGGAACAAGAAGCCGCCAAUCAAAUUAAGCUGGCAUUCGGAUUCCUGAGAUCAAAAUACAUGAGGAUAGCGGGACGAACCCUUCCACAAAAAAUCUGAAUCUUCAUCUCAGAUUUUGACAAAAUUCCAAGGCUAUAGGCUUACUGUUUUUCCCGGCAAAAAAGUGGAGUAUCCCUCAGAAUGAUUCCAGGACGCUUCUCCUAUGUAGAAAAGCGUUCGGAACAAGAAGCCGCCAAUCAAAUUAAGCUGGCAUUCGGAUUCCUGAGAUCAAAAUACAUCGGAAUAACAUAGAAAUUCU